rnacentral:rRNA from 1 species
GAUGAACGCUGGCGGCGUGCCUAAUACAUGCAAGUCGAGCGAACAGACGAGGAGCUUGCUCCUCUGACGUUAGCGGCGGACGGGUGAGUAACACGUGGAUAACCUACCUAUAAGACUGGGAUAACUUCGGGAAACCGGAGCUAAUACCGGAUAAUAUAUUGAACCGCAUGGUUCAAUAGUGAAAGACGGUUUUGCUGUCACUUAUAGAUGGAUCCGCGCCGCAUUAGCUAGUUGGUAAGGUAACGGCUUACCAAGGCAACGAUGCGUAGCCGACCUGAGAGGGUGAUCUGCCACACUGGAACUGAGACACGGUCCAGACUCCUACGGGGGGCAGCAGUAGGGAAUCUUCCGCAAUGGGCGAAAGCCUGACGGAGCAACGCCGCGUGAGUGAUGAAGGUCUUCGGAUCGUAAAACUCUGUUAUUAGGGAAGAACAAAUGUGUAAGUAACUAUGCACGUCUUGACGGUACCUAAUCAGAAAGCCACGGCUAACUACGUG